CUUUCCUGAAAUAAGUGUUGGGCCUUGCCUUUUCAUACUUGAAUAACUACAAAUUCACAUAUGAAGAUAUUGAGUCCUCUUCAACAUCAGUGAGGUGUUACAAUGGGUAACGCUCAUCUUUUCUUAGCCAGUCCCCUGGGUGCCAAGCCAGAGAAAGCAAUAAGCAGCCAACUUUCUUAUAUAACUUGCGGCAGUGAUGAUGGCAAUGUUUCUUUGCAAGUCUGCUAAAAUCUGCUUACUCUGUGUUUGCAAGAUGUGGAGCUUACUAAAUGUGAGAACUCCAGUCAGAAAGUUCAGAAGUUUCAGGAGUCUAAUCCUGAGCUGGAACAAUGGCUCAGGAUAUUUAUCUGCCUUGGAUGGACUUGGAAAACUUGACCUUGAAUUUGGAUCUGGUCUUGUGAUACAGUCGGAACUUGCUGAACUUUAAGACCCACGACAUUGAUAGGAAAAGUAUUUCCAGUCCCAGCUGGUGUGGAAUAAAACCAUGGAAAUGAAGAGCCCCUGGGAAGAG
rnacentral:lncRNA from 12 species